rnacentral:rRNA from 1 species
GUUUCAGCAGCCGCGGUAAGACAGAGGUCCCGAGCGUUAGGCGGAAUCACUGGGCUUAAAGCGUGUGUAGGCGGACUUCUAAGUACCUUGUGAAAUCCCACGGCUUAACCGUGGAACUGCUUGGUAUACUGGUUGUCUUGGGCCAUCUAGGGGCUACUGGAACAAACGGUGGAGCGGUGAAAUGCGUAGAUAUCGUUUGGAACGCCAAUGGUGAAAACAAGUAGCUGGGGAUGUGCCGACGCUGAGACACGAAAGCCAGGGGAGCGAACGGGAUUAGAUACCCGGGUAGUCC